AAAGGACAUUGCAACACUGGUAUGGAAAGGUAAGGUGUCCAAAUACCAAAGUAUAUUGAGAUUAGUUAAAAGCAUUGACCUCUCUUGCAACAUGUUGACGGGAGAAAUUCCAAGUGAACUGAUGGAUCUUGUUGAAUUGGUCGCCUUAAACAUUUCAAGAAACAUGCUCAGUGGACAAAUCCUUGCCACCAUUGGACAACUGAAGUCACUGGACUUUCUUGAUUUGUCAAGGAACCACUUAUCUGGACACAUUCCUUCAGAACUUUCACAAGUGGAUCGUCUUGGUGUGACGGAUUUAUCACACAACAAUUUGUCAGGAGAAAUUCCUCAUGGCACUCAACUUCAAAGCUUUGAUCCCUCUGCUUAUGAGGGAAAUGCUCAUCUAUGCGGUGCUCCCCUUCCAAAAUGUCCCACAAGCCCAACACAAGAUCAUCCAAAUGAUGAGAAUUCUGAAGAAGAUGAACAAAUUGUCGGUCGAGGUUUCUUUAUCAGCUCGUCCAUCGGAUUUGGAACAGGAUUUUGGGGAAUUUGCAGCUUAAUAUUUCUGAACAAAUCCUUCAGAUAUUCCUAUUUUAGGUUAAUGAGUGGCAUACAUGACAAAGUGUACGUGAUCGUUGCUAUAAAUGUGGCCAAACUGCGCAGGUGGAGGAGAGGUUCAACUUGAAGUCCUUUACGUGGGGAAGCUAGCUGCUUCACAAGUUUGCCCUGUAAGGUUCUUCCAUCGUCAUCCGAUGAGUACUAAACUAUUAAGGCAUUUGUUUUAUCCAUCUGCUGUGCAAGUUUGCGACGGAAAAUUAAACGAGCUAUGUUUGCGAUAAUUGUUCAAGCCUUUUAUGUUCUGCUAGUUUAGUUUGCAAAAUAAAUAAAUAAUUGUACUGUAAAAUCGGACACUGGUUUUUCGGAGUCAAUAUAUCGACAUGUGCUUGUUGUGUGGUUUGAUUUGA